GCCGGGCGUGGUGGCGCGCGCCUGUAGUCCCAGCUACUCGGGAGGCUGAGGCAGGAGGAUCGCUUGAGCCCAGGAGUUCUGGGCUGUAGUGCGCUAUGCCGAUCGGGUGUCCGCACUAAGUUCAGCAUAAAUAUGGUGACCUCCCGGGAGCGGGGGACCACCAGGUUGCCUAAGGAGGGGUGAACCGGCCCAGGUCGGAAACGGAGCAGGUCAAAACUCCCGUGCUGAUCAGUAGUGGGAUCGCGCCUGUGAAUAGCCACUGCACUCCAGCCUGGGCAACAUAGCGAGACCCCGUCUCUU
ensembl:misc_RNA Metazoa_SRP Metazoan signal recognition particle RNA